GAUGAACGCUGGCGGCGUGCCUAAUACAUGCAAGUCGAGCGAACAGACGAGGAGCUUGCUCCUCUGACGUUAGCGGCGGACGGGUGAGUAACACGUGGAUAACCUACCUAUAAGACUGGGAUAACUUCGGGAAACCGGAGCUAAUACCGGAUAAUAUAUUGAACCGCAUGGUUCAAUAGUGAAAGACGGUUUUGCUGUCACUUAUAGAUGGAUCCGCGCCGCAUUAGCUAGUUGGUAAGGUAACGGCUUACCAAGGCAACGAUGCGUAGCCGACCUGAGAGGGUGAGCGGACAAACGGGAACUGAGACACGGUCCAGACUACUACGGGAGGCAGCAGUAGGGAAUCUUCCGCAAUGGGCGAAAGAUUGAAGGAGCAACGCCGCGGGAGGGAUGAAGGUCUUCGGAUAGUAAAAAUCUGUUAUUAGGGAAGAACAAAUGUGUAAGUAACUAUGCACGUCUUGAAGGUACCUAAUCAGAAAGCAACGGCUAACUACGUG
rnacentral:rRNA from 1 species